rnacentral:tRNA from 4 species
GCUACUGUAAUUCAGUGGACUAGAAUGAUCGCCUUCUAAGCGAUAAGUCGUGGGUUCGAAUCCCUCCUGUAGCA